GACGGACGCUGGCGGCGUGCCUAAUACAUGCAAGUAGAACGCUGAAGGAGGAGCUUGCUUCUCUGGAUGAGUUGCGAACGGGUGAGUAACGCGUAGGUAACCUGCCUGGUAGCGGGGGAUAACUAUUGGAAACGAUAGCUAAUACCGCAUAAUAGUAGAUGUUGCAUGACAUUUACUUAAAAGGUGCAAUUGCAUCACUACCAGAUGGACCUGCGUUGUAUUAGCUAGUUGGUGGGGUAACGGCUCACCAAGGCGACGAUACAUAGCCGACCUGAGAGGGUGAUCGGCCACACUGGGACUGGGACACGGCCCAGACUCCUACGGGAGGCAGCAGUAGGGAAUCUUCGGCAAUGGACGAAAGUCUGACCGAGCAACGCCGCGUGAGUGAAGAAGGGUUUCGGAUCGUAAAGCUCUGUUGUAAGAGAAGAACGAGUGUGAGAGUGGAAAGUUCACACUGUGACGGUAUCUUACCAGAAAGGGACGGCUAACUACGUG
rnacentral:rRNA from 1 species